rnacentral:misc_RNA from 1 species
AAGUCGUAACAAGGUCUCCGUAGGUGAACCUGCGGAGGGAUCAUUAACACGUGAAAACGUAUUAACCAAUCUACCUUAAAACAACCUGAGAAUUUCACCCCUACCUAUUCAUUUGAUACUGUUCCAUAUAAUAUGUAGUAGGAUAUAAAGUUGGCAACAAUUUUAUAUGCAAUUAUAUGGAUACUAAGGUUUCGAACCUAAAAGUAUCUUUUGUUAGGCUUAUUUUUUUUUCCCCUACUACUAAAAAACUAAACCAACCUAUUUCACCUUUAAACAAAUUUUGACUGAUGUACGUUGAUAGUAAAGAAAUUUACUGGAUCAACACCAUUUAUCUAAACUAAGCACAACUCUUAGCAAUGGAUAUCUUGGUUCUC